GUCCUCAGCGCGACCCUGGAGCUGGGGGUGUUUUUAAGUUUGGGGCGAGGCCGGUGAAGCCGAGGCGCGGGCGGCAAGGAGCGCUGGAGAGCGACGGGGCUCGGCCUCCGCGGCUGCCCAGGGGCCCGGGGCAUUCCGAGAAGAGAAAAAAAGCUUGUACUUAAAUACUUCCUGCGAAGUUUUGACUGAGACGCUGCAACAAUUCCCGAGCUGUUUCAUCGUGGCACCUUCCUGGUGGCAGGUGGAUUAGCACAUUGUCUGCAACCCAGGAGGACUUGGAGGAAAGUCCCAGCUCUGCUGAUUCUAGCUGAGUAACCUUGGCAAAGGUCACCUCACUUCUCUCUGAGUCUUAUUUUCUCAUCUGUAAAAUGAGGAGGAGGAGGAGGAUCAUCCAAACAUCACGGGACUUCGUUAAAUCAGUGCUUCGGGGCACUUAGCACAGCGCCUGGCGCAAGGUAAGCACUUGAUAAAUGGGA
rnacentral:lncRNA from 1 species